rnacentral:misc_RNA from 1 species
GAUGAAGAACGUAGCGAAAUGCGAUAAGCAAUGUGAAUUGCAGAAUUCAGUGAAUCAUCGAAUCUUUGAACGCACAUUGCGCCCCCUGGUAUUCCGGGGGGCAUGCCUGUUCGAGCGUCAUUUCACCACUCAAGCCUCGCUUGGUAUUGGGCAACGCGGUCCGCCGCGUGCCUCAAAUCGACCGGCUGGGUCUUCUGUCCCCUAAGCGUUGUGGAAACUAUUCGCUAAAGGGUGUUCGGGAGGCUACGCCGUAAAACAACCCCAUUUCUAAGGUUGACCUCGGAUCAGGUAGGGAUACCCGCUGAACUUAAGCAUAUCAAUAAGCGGAGGA